rnacentral:rRNA from 1 species
GACGUAGGGGCCAGCGUUGUUCGGAAUACUGGGUGUAAAGGGUUCGUAGGCGGUGUGGCAAGUCGGGAGUGAAAUCUCUGGGCUCAACCCAGAGUCUGCUUCCGAAACUGCUGUGCUUGAGUGUGGGAGAGGCGCGUGGAAUUGCAGGUGUAGAGGUGAAAUUCGUAGAUAUUCGCAAGAACACCAGUGGCGAAGGCGGCUCACUGGCCCGGUACUGACGCUGAGGUGCGAAAGCGUGGGGAGCAAACAGG